GACGAACGCUGACGGCGUGCUUUAGUCAUGCAAGUCGAACGAGAAAGCCCUUCGGGGUUAGUAAAGUGGCGAACGGGUGAGUAACACGUGGGCAAUCUGCCCUUCGUUGGGGGACAACCGGGGGAAACCCCGGCUAAUACCCCGUAAGCUUGUCGGGUCGCAUGGCCUGACAAGGAGAGGUAGCUUCGGCCAUCCGGCGAAGGAGGAGCCCGCGGUACAUUAGCUAGUUGGUGAGGUAAAGGCCCACCAAGGCGACGAUGUAUAGCUGGUCUGAGAGGAAGAUCAGCCACACUGGGACUGAGACACGGCCCAGAGUCCUACGGGAGGCAGCAGUCGGGAAUCUUGCACAAUGGGCGAAAGCCUGAUGCAGCAACGCCGUGUGAGCGACGAAGGCCCUAGGGUCGUAAAGCUCUGUUGUUAGGGACGAAGGGCGAAGGGUUAAUAGCCCUUAGCCUGACGGUACCUUUCGAGGAAGCCCCGGCUAACUACGUGCCAGCCGCCGCCGUAA
rnacentral:rRNA from 1 species